CUUUUGGUUGUAAAGCACUUUAAGCAGUGAAGAAGACCUUCGGUUAAUACCCGGGGACGAUGACAUUAGCUGCAGAAUAAGCACCGGCUAACUCUGUGCCAGCAGCCGCGGUAAUACAGAGGGUGCAAGCGUUAAUCGGAAUUACUGGGCGUAAAGCGAGCGUAGGUGGCUUGAUAAGUCAGAUGUGAAAUCCCCGGGCUUAACCUGGGAACUGCAUCUGAAACUGUUAGGCUAGAGUAGGUGAGAGGGAAGUAGAAUUUCAGGUGUAGCGGUGAAAUGCGUAGAGAUCUGAAGGAAUACCGAUGGCGAAGGCAGCUUCCUGGCAUCAUACUGACACUGAGGCUCGAAAGCGUGGGUAGCAAACAGGAUUAGAUACCCUGGUAGUCCACGCCGUAAACGAUGUCUACUAGUCGUUGGGUCCCUUGAGGACUUAGUGACGCAGCUAACGCAAUAAGUAGACCGCCUGGGGAGUACGGCCGCAAGGUUAAAACUCAAAUGAAUUGACGGGGGCCCGCACAAGCGGUGGAGCAUGUGGUUUAAUUCGAUGCAACGCGAAGAACCUUACCUGGUCUUGACAUACACAGAAUCUUGUAGAGAUACAGAGUGCCUUCGGGAAUUGUGAUACAGGUGCUGCAUGGCUGUCGUCAGCUCGUGUCGUGAGA
rnacentral:rRNA from 1 species